rnacentral:tRNA from 1 species
GCUGGUGUAGCUCAGUCGGUAGAGCAAGCGAUUUGUAAUCGCUAGGUCGUCGGUUCGAUUCCGUCCACCAGCU